CCUGGGUCAAGGAGACAUGAACAACAUAAAUUAUUAAAUAAUUGUUCAUUCAAUUUGUUGAACACAUAAAUCAUUUCAAAACCGCAAAAGAAUCUAAAUAAUUUGAUUCAUUAUCUGAUCCUAUGCCAUCAUUACUCAGGGGUCUAAUCUACUCAAUUAAAGAACACAGAAGAUUCAGUUUACCAUCACAGAUGGUUUGAGUUGCAGCCAUUUCGAUGUCGUUUCCAGCAACUAUCCAGCUGACCGUUUCUCUUUCCGCUCCGAUUUUUCAGAGCCGGUCUGUUACCGUUUCUCUUUCCGCUCCAAUUUUCAGAGCCGGUCUGUUACUGUUUCUCUUUCCCUCCGAUUUUUCUGAGCCGGUCUGUUAUCGUUCUCUUUCCGCUCUUCCAUUUCUCUUGCAGAUCCGUUGUGAUUUUCCAGCGUCGCUGGUUAUCUCGUACAGCUUCGUCUUUGUUUUCCAGAUAGUGAUUGGGAGAUGUUGACAGUGCACUGUCCCCUAGAGAAUAGGCAGUAAACCUGUUCUCUAGUGGAAAAAGGCAGUAAAAGCCGCAGGAGCUUUAUAUAAACUGUAUAGUCGGGGAUUGAGAGCUAAGGCGGCAGCCGCGGAUUGAGAGCUAAGGCGGCAGCCGCGGAUUGAGAGCUAAGGCGGCAAACAACUUAUAUAAGCUCCUGCGGCUCUUCUCCGCUACUGGAUUACUGCUAAGGUAAGUUUCAUUAUCUUUGAUCAUUUUGGGAUUAUUUUACUUUAUUUAUAAUCUUUUAUUUUUUCCGGGAAUUUAUCCGCCGACGAGCGAGACUACGUGUCGACCUUUCCUCAAACGCCGUCAUCGUGUAACAGCAGUAAAGUACAAGUUGCCGUUAACUCCUCCUCACACGUCACUCGCGGACAGACAGAUAAACCCUGUAGUGCUCUCAUUUUUAAAGCCUAGUUUUGGGUUUUAUUUUCUCCGCCGCUCGCAUUUAGUUUCGGAAAUUCUAUUCAAGUCAAUAGUAUGAGGAGGAGAAAUGCUACUGGGAGGAGUUACUGCAGUUACCCGCAGAUCAAGUAAACCACCGCCA
ensembl:lncRNA